rnacentral:rRNA from 1 species
GACGAACGCUGGCGGCGUGCUUAACACAUGCAAGUCGAACGGAAAGGCCCUGCUUUUGUGGGGUGCUCGAGUGGCGAACGGGUGAGUAACACGUGAGUAACCUGCCCUUGACUUUGGGAUAACUUCAGGAAACUGGGGCUAAUACCGUAUAGCAGCUCCUGCUGCAUGGUGGGGGUUGGAAAGUCUCGGCGGUUGGGGAUGGACUCGCGGCUUAUCAGCUUGUUGGUGGGGUAGUGGCUUACCAAGGCUUUGACGGGUAGCCGGCCUGAGAGGGUGACCGGCCACAUUGGGACUGAGAGACGGACCAGACUCCUACGGGAGGCAGCAGUGGGGAAUAUUGCACAAUGGGCGGAAGCCUGAUGCAGCAACGCCGCGUGCGGGAUGACGGCCUUCGGGUUGUAAACCGCUUUCGCCUGUGACGAAGCGUGAGUGACGGUAAUGGGUAAAGAAGCACCGGCUAACUACGUG